rnacentral:misc_RNA from 1 species
GAUGAAGAACGUAGCAAAAUGCGAUAAGUAAUGUGAAUUGCAGAAUUCAGUGAAUCAUCGAAUGUUUGAACGCACAUUGCGCCCGCCAGUAUUCUGGCGGGCAUGCCUGUUCGAGCGUCAUUUCAACCCUCAAGCACAGCUUGGUGUUGGGACUCGCGUUAAUUCGCGUUCCCCAAAUUGAUUGGCGGUCACGUCGAGCUUCCAUAGCGUAGUAGUAAAACCCUCGUUACUGGUAAUCGUCGCGGCCACGCCGUUAAACCCCAACUUCUGAAUGUUGACCUCGGAUCAGGUAGGAAUACCCGCUGAACUUAAGCAUAUCAAUAAGCGGAGGA